GCUCAAGACUCUCUUUCUUCACAUGAACACAGCAAGAUCUUCGAUUAAACUAAAACGACACACUAAAAUCUCAAGACUCUCUUUCUUCACAUGAACACAGCAAGAUCUUCAAUUAAACUAAAACGACACACUAAAAUCUCAAGACUCUCUUUCUUCACAUGAACACAGCAAGAUCUUCAAUUAAUCUUUCUUCUUACGCUCCGAUGGGGGGCCAAAGAACUUUUCCCAUACAUAAAUCACAAACUCGCCACGACUCAUCCGAACGAUUUGUCUUGAUGUCUUACCAUCUUCAAAAAGUGGAUCUCUUUUUGAUUUCCAGUCGUCAAAGGUUGAUGUUGCUUUCACCAUGUUGCCUUCCAAGAUCAAAUUGUGUAUUUUUUUUCUUAGCUUUCCAAUCUCUGCCUUUUCUCUGGUCUCUAUAUCGUCGUUUUUGCUACAUUUGAUUGGGAGUAGUAAAGAUGAAGAGACAGAUCGGAUCGGAGGAAGAGAGGAAGAAGAGAGAAAUGGUAAAG